rnacentral:rRNA from 1 species
UGUUUCGGCUAGGGGGCCAUCCCGGCUUACCAACCCGAUGCAAACUGCGAAUACCGGAGAAUGUUAUCACGGGAGACACACGGCGGGUGCUAACGUCCGUCGUGAAGAGGGAAACAACCCAGACCGCCAGCUAAGGUCCCAAAGUCAUGGUUAAGUGGGAAACGAUGUGGGAAGGCCCAGACAGCCAGGAUGUUGGCUUAGAAGCAGCCAUCAUUUAAAGAAAGCGUAAUAGCUCACUGGUCGAGUCGGCCUGCGCGGAAGAUGUAACGGGGCUAAACCAUGCACCGAAGCUGCGGCAGCGACACUUUAGUGUUGUUGGGUAGGGGAGCGUUCUGUAAGCCGUUGAAGGUGUCCUGUGAGGGGUGCUGGAGGUAUCAGAAGUGCGAAUGCUGACAUAAGUAACGAUAAAGCGGGUGAAAAGCCCGCUCGCCGGAAGACCAAGGGUUCCUGUCCAACGUUAAUCGGGGCAGGGUGAGUCGACCCCUAAGGCGAGGCCGAAAGGCGUAGUCGAUGGGAAACGGGUUAAUAUUCCCGUACUUGGUGUUACUGCGAAGGGGGGACGGAGAAGGCUAUGUUGGCCGGGCGACGGUUGUCCCGGUUUAAGCGUGUAGGUGUGUGUUCCAGGUAAAUCCGGUUCACUUUAACACUGAGGCGUGAUGACGAGGCACCACGGUGCUGAAGCAACAAAUGCCCUGCUUCCAGGAAAAGCCUCUAAGCAUCAGGUAACAUCAAAUCGUACCCCAAACCGACACAGGUGGUCAGGUAGAGAAUACCAAGGCGCUUGAGAGAACUCGGGUGAAGGAACUAGGCAAAAUGGUGCCGUAACUUCGGGAGAAGGCACGCUGACACGUAGGUGAAGUGAUUUACUCAUGGAGCUGAAGUCAGUCGAAGAUACCAGCUGGCUGCAACUGUUUAUUAAAAACACAGCACUGUGCAAACACGAAAGUGGACGUAUACGGUGUGACGCCUGCCCGGUGCCGGAAGGUUAAUUGAUGGGGUCAGCGCAAGCGAAGCUCCUGAUCGAAGCCCCGGUAAACGGCGGCCGUAACUAUAACGGUCCUAAGGUAGCGAAAUUCCUUGUCGGGUAAGUUCCGACCUGCACGAAUGGCGUAAUGAUGGCCAGGCUGUCUCCACCCGAGACUCAGUGAAAUUGAACUCGCUGUGAAGAUGCAGUGUACCCGCGGCAAGACGGAAAGACCCCGUGAACCUUUACUAUAGCUUGACACUGAACAUUGAGCCUUGAUGUGUAGGAUAGGUGGGAGGCUUUGAAGCGUGGACGCCAGUCUGCGUGGAGCCGACCUUGAAAUACCACCCUUUAAUGUUUGAUGUUCUAACGUGGACCCGUAAUCCGGGUUGCGGACAGUGUCUGGUGGGUAGUUUGACUGGGGCGGUCUCCUCCUAAAGAGUAACGGAGGAGCACGAAGGUUGGCUAAUCCUGGUCGGACAUCAGGAGGUUAGUGCAAUGGCAUAAGCCAGCUUGACUGCGAGCGUGACGGCGCGAGCAGGUGCGAAAGCAGGUCAUAGUGAUCCGGUGGUUCUGAAUGGAAGGGCCAUCGCUCAACGGAUAAAAGGUACUCCGGGGAUAACAGGCUGAUACCGCCCAAGAGUUCAUAUCGACGGCGGUGUUUGGCACCUCGAUGUCGGCUCAUCACAUCCUGGGGCUGAAGUAGGUCCCAAGGGUAUGGCUGUUCGCCAUUUAAAGUGGUACGCGAGCUGGGUUUAGAACGUCGUGAGACAGUUCGGUCCCUAUCUGCCGUGGGCGCUGGAAGACUGAGGGGGGCUGCUCCUAGUACGAGAGGACCGGAGUGGACGCAUCACUGGUGUUCGGGUUGUCAUGCCAAUGGCACUGCCCGGUAGCUAAAUGCGGAAAAGAUAAGUGCUGAAAGCAUCUAAGCACGAAACUUGCCCC